AAGACAUUUGUAGCCUGGUGU
rnacentral:piRNA from 1 species